ACGUAGGUGGCAAGCGUUGUCCGGAUUUACUGGGUGUAAAGGGCGUGUAGCCGGGAAGGUAAGUCAGAUGUGAAAUCUGGAGGCUCAACCUCCAAACUGCAUUUGAAACUGCUUUUCUUGAGUAUCGGAGAGGUAAUCGGAAUUCCUUGUGUAGCGGUGAAAUGCUUAGAUAUCACGAAGAACUCCGAUUGCGAAGGCGGCUCUCUGGUCUGUAACUGACGCUGAGGCUCGAAAGCGUGGGGAGCAAACA
rnacentral:rRNA from 1 species